CCCAUCAGAAACACCGAGCUCAGAGUGAAGAUGGAUGACCCCAACAAAGAAUUCUCUUUAUUUUAAAAUUUCCCUUUCCCGACGAGAAUCAAUUGCCACGAUCGGAAGAUAAAAGUAUUAGAGAAUCACGAUCCGCCAACAACAUUUUGCUGUCAUUAUUUUCUGGAGGAGAUUAACAGACUUUGAAGGAGAAUUAUUAAAAACGAGUUGAGAAGUUUUGCUCUUCCUAGUAAUGGAUAAGAUUGACGAUUCAAUUAAGAACCAAAUAGCUGUACUUUGGCGAGUUACAAAUGCGACAAGAUGCUUCAAGGAGGACAACGCUCCUUGCCAGAUCGAAGGGGGCCUCUUCUUAGGUUCUGUUGGUGCUGCAAACAAUAAGGAUCUACUGAAAAGCAACAACAUUACACACAUCUUAACAGUUGCUAAUUCUUUGGCUCCUGCUCAUCGAAAUGAUUUUAUAUAUAAAGUCAUUGGAGUUGUGGAUAGAGAAGACACAAAUUUGAGGCAAUACUUUGAUGAUUGCAUCAAUUUUAUUGAUGAAGCUAAAAGACAGGGUGGUGGUUGUUUGGUUCACUGCUUUGUUGGAAGAUCCAGAAGCGUCACAAUUGUUGUUGCCUAUCUGAUGAAAAAGCAUGGCAUGAGCGUAUGCCAAGCUCUUGAAUAUGUGAAGAGCAGACGACCUCAGGCUGCUCCUAACUCAGGCUUCAUCUCACAAUUGCAAGACGUUGAGAAAUCUCUUCAAGGCCUUCAACCCUAAUGCGCAAACGAAGACGAGAAGGGCAUGGAAAGUCUAAGCAGUGCUGGAUUCUGCAUUUGUUGCUUAUUCGAAAAGUAUAGCAGAAUAAACUUCAAAUUGGAAGCAGAUUGAUUAUGGCAAACAACACUACAAUAGAGGGAAUGAUGGUAUUAAAUACUCCUCGCUGGUUAAAAGAGGGCUGGAAUGACACAGACUUUAGUAUUUAUUUUGUCAUGGGUGGUCUCUGUUACCAACUAGCCAUGAGAGAGAGACUGUGUGAUCGAACAAUUUUAGUUCCUUGCAGUAAUUGGUAAGUUUGUAUUUGUAAUCAAUUGAGGAUACAAGGAGAGGUUUAUACAGAACGGCUACAUGAGGUUAUAGGUUGGGAGCUUUGGCACAAAAAGAAGAGAGGACAGAGGACCGAGUACCGUGCUGUGCCCUAAUAAAUUAACAGCAUUAUGCUUGUUGGAAAGCACGCUCGGCAAGUUGCUUCAAUGUUGUCCGUUUGACCAGGAAAAGGACGGCACGCUUUCGUAAUCAAGCUGGGUUAUGGCAAAAGGCUAAAAAUCAUAGGGGGGCUUCUGCAUUCUGAAGUGAGAUUUCGAAAUCAGACUGCCAAUAUCUCUUAAUAGCCACCAUGAACUACUAUACGCUCUUUGAGCAUGUAAUCCAAGACAUGAAUAACAUGUACCAGUAAAGCUAUUUAAUUCAACUAAGCUUCCAGAGGGCUUGUCCGUAA